rnacentral:rRNA from 1 species
UACGGGGGGGGGCAAGCGUUGUCCGGAAUCACUGGGCGUAAAGGGCGCGUAGGUGGCCUGAUAAGGGUGUGGUGAAAGUCCGGGGCUUAACCCCGGAUCUGCCGUGCCGACUGUUAGGCUAGAGUGCUGUAGGGGCAGGCGGAAUUCCGGGUGUAGCGGUGGAAUGCGUAGAGAUCCGGAGGAACACCAGUGGCGAAGGCGACACGCUGGGCCGUACCUGACGCUAAAGCGCGACAGCAUGGGGAGCAAACAGG